rnacentral:lncRNA from 1 species
UGUUUUUGUACCUUUCAAGACAAUAAGAGCUUUUAUUUCUCCAACGACUGAACAAACAUACUGAGCUUCACAGUCAUGGAAGUUUCUACCACAACCACCUUCCCCUCAACCCGAUCAUCAUUUUGGUGAAUGGAAUCUCCCCUCUAGUUGCUGGGGCCUUGGGUAGGGGUACAACCUCGAACACUCUCUGAGGUCAGGUGUGUGGGUCAAGUAUCCGACGCCGGAGCGGGAAGUGAGGUCAUUUCCACCUUAACAGUGUGUCUGAGAGAGGGGGGUUGGGUAAAGGACAGCGUCCCAGAUACAGACAUCAAUAGUUGUGUUGUAAUCAGGAUCAUAGCAGGCAAGCUUCCAGAAUCAAAUGUUGUGCAAUCACCAAGGAGCCAUAUAAACAGUGGCUCUCCCCACUUGCAGCAGCCUCACUGGGUCCCAGUCUCAGAGCAGCUCCUCCAUCUCUUCCCACCACCCAGCAUCCAGCUGGCGUUUACCAUGCGGGGCCUCUGCUUCGUGCUCCUGACCUGCUUCAUCCUUUUUCCUCACUUUGCCACAGCCCAGGUCCAGGUUGUAGACUCAGAGAAGGAGUGCAAUAAAAGAGAGGCCGAGUGUAAAUGGUUUUACUGCCCAGAAAAUCAUGACCGUCUUGGCACCUGUUGGUUUGGGAUAAAGAAAUGCUGUCUGCGCCAGGAAUGAGCUGAAGAACAUGGGAGGACAAGGAGCCCGGAGAAUGAAAUAAAGGCCUGACUGUAACUCUGAAAGUGCUGUGGUAUUAUUUCCCAAAAGUAAAGAAAUGACCUGUGCUGUAUUUGAAAAAAGUGAUUAUUACAUGUGACGGUGUCUGGGAGAGACGUGUGUGUGGAAGCAGAGAGGGAACUGAGGCGUGCAAGGCGGGCCUAGGAGAGGGGAGGCCUGGCGUGCCUGAGAUGGGAGA